rnacentral:rRNA from 1 species
UACGUAGGGACCGAGCGUUGUCCGGAAUCAUUGGGCGUAAAGAGCGUGUAGGCGGCUUGCUAAGUCUUGCGUGAAAUCUCGGGGCUCAACCCCGAGCGGUCGUGGGAAACUGGCAGGCUAGAGUGCGGGAGAGGAGAAUGGAAUUCCUGGUGUAGCGGUGAAAUGCGCAGAUAUCAGGAGGAACACCGGUGGCGAAGGCGGGUCUCUGGGCAGUAACUGACGCUGAGGAGCGAAAGCGUGGGGAGCGAACAGG